rnacentral:rRNA from 1 species
CCUACGGGGGGCUGCAGUGGGGAAUAUUGCACAAUGGGCGCAAGCCUGAUGCAGCCAUGCCGCGUGUGUGAAGAAGGCCUUCGGGUUGUAAAGCACUUUCAGCGGGGAGGAAGGCGGUGAGGUUAAUAACCUCAUCGAUUGACGUUACCCGCAGAAGAAGCACCGGCUAACUCCGUGCCAGCAGCCGCGGUAAUACGGAGGGUGCAAGCGUUAAUCGGAAUUACUGGGCGUAAAGCGAACGCAGGCGGUCUGUCAAGUCGGAUGUGAAAUCCCCGGGCUCAACCUGGGAACUGCAUUCGAAACUGGCAGGCUAGAGUCUUGUAGAGGGGGGUAGAAUUCCAGGUGUAGCGGUGAAAUGCGUAGAGAUCUGGAGGAAUACCGGUGGCGAAGGCGGCCCCCUGGACAAAGACUGACGCUCAGGUGCGAAAGCGUGGGGAGCAAACAGGAUUAGAUACCCGAGUAGUC